UACGGAGGGGGCUAGCGUUGUUCGGAAUUACUGGGCGUAAAGCGCACGUAGGCGGCUUUGUAAGUUAGAGGUGAAAGCCCGGGGCUCAACUCCGGAAUUGCCUUUAAGUCUGCAUCGCUAGAAUUGUGGAGAGGUAAGUGGAAUUCCGAGUGUAGAGGUGAAAUUCGUAGAUAUUCGGAAGAACACCAGUGGCGAAGGCGACUUACUGGACACAUAUUGACGCUGAGGUGCGAAAGCGUGGGGAGCAAACAGG
rnacentral:rRNA from 1 species